AAACAAAAGGCACAUCUACACCAAACCAAUUCGCAUAUUCGGCCAAAAGAUGCCCACAGCUGUUAGACACAGCAUUUGAUGCUUUCUCCGUCAUGCCUUUUAUUUUUUCUCCCACAUGCGCGUGCCUGCACACGCGCGCACACGUCCCCCACGCAGCCUGCCGCGUGCACCCGCAGACCUGCUUGCCAAUGCACAGCAGUGGAGACCCGGACAGUGCGAGUGGCUGCCGGUGAACGCUGCCUGGCGUCUCUACUGCUCCGCUGGAUGUUUGCGCAGAGGACAGCUGCCUGCGCCGCCGACUGCGCCGAUCCGACCGCCGCAAAACACACCUUGUGUCCACCUCUUAACUUUUCCAACGAGUGACGGUCUUUUUUUUUUUGCUUUUUUUUUUUUUCUUGUUUCUCACAUUUAUAUUUUUUGCAGCACGCACCUGUUUGAAGAUUCUGCUUGCAUCUUCAGAGGAAGCCCGCGCAGCCGUGCGUUUUGGCAUCCAACUUGGCGCUUGAUGGAUAUUUGUGUGUGACUGGUCUGGAAACUCGAGGAGCAUGGACGCGAACUUUAAAAGCUUGUUCCUCUUUUUCAACAUCACCUAGAGACAGUGUUCUUCAUUAAAUGAAGGCAGGUGAAUCACCCCUCGCGUGAGAGGCGCGCAGAGCUCAGGGGCUCUCCAGGUACGGACGGAAAGGAGAGACGACGCGGUGGAAGUCGUGAUCUGUGAGGCGGAUUGCGCCACGGAGGACAGGGAGAGGGGGGUGGGUGGAGCGGACCGAUGAGACAAUAUGGGUCUGUUGCUGUGUUAUGGAAGACUGAAACACCUCCUUUUCCCUCUUCUCCUUCUCUUGCGGGCUCCCCUGUUGUUCAGCUUUGGUGAACGCACUUGUCCCAAUAGCUGCCGAUGUGAGGGAAAAACGGUCCAUUGUGAUUCAGCUGGCUUCUUAGAUGUCCCAGAAAACAUCUCGGUGGGCUGCCAAGGCCUCUCUCUGCGCUACAAUGAACUGCAUACCCUUCUGCCAUAUCAAUUUGCUCACCUCGGCCAGCUUCUCUGGAUAUACUUGGACCAUAAUCAGAUUUCAUCUGUUGACAGUCGAGCAUUCCAGGGGGUCCGCAGGCUUAAGGAGCUUAUACUGAGCUCCAAUAGAAUCUCAUCCCUUCACAACUCAACAUUCCAUGGAAUUCCCAAUCUUCGCAGCCUGGACUUGUCCUACAACAAAUUGGAAAUCCUCCAACCAGGUCAAUUCCACGGCUUGCGAAAAUUGCAGAACCUGCACCUCCGCUCAAAUGGUCUCUCUAACAUCCCAAUUCGAGCCUUCCUGGAGUGCCGCAGUUUGGAAUUUCUGGAUUUGGGCUACAAUAGAAUCAAGGCUCUUACCCGCACUACCUUUUUGGGACUGCAAAAGCUGAUGGAAUUGCAUCUAGAGCACAACCAGUUCUCACGGAUCAACUUUUUUCUGUUUCCACGCUUAGCCAAUCUAAGAUCACUCUAUCUGCAGUGGAACCGCAUCAGGGUGGUCAACCAGGGCCUUCCAUGGACUUGGUAUACGCUGCAGAAACUUGAUCUGUCUGGAAAUGAAAUCCAGACCCUGGACCCAGCUGUGUUUCACUGCUUGCCCAACCUUCAAGUCCUAAACCUAGAAUCCAAUAAGCUGUCCAAUGUGUCCCAGGAGGCGGUGUCAGCUUGGAUCUCACUGACCACCAUCAGUCUAGCAGGAAACAUGUGGGAUUGUGGAACUGGAAUAUGCCCCCUUGUGGCUUGGUUGAGGAAUUUCCGGGGUAGUAAAGACACCACUAUGAUAUGCAGCAGCCCAAAGAACCUUCAAGGAGAAAAAAUUAUGGAAGCUACAAGGAAUCAUGGUAUUUGUGAGGAAACUGAUUACGUUCUGACUGAAACACCUUCACCAAUGUCAGAUCUCAUUUCUGAAGCCACUGGUGAACCAACCUUUGCCCCCACUAGCGGCUCUCCACCUAUGCCACCAGCCAACACAUUCGGUCCUGUCCCGCCCUUCAGACCUCGGCCGAUUCCUCAUCCUACGCUUCCUGGUCAUUUGAGCAAAGACCCGAGAGACUCAGUCACUCAAACUAGACCCACUCCUAUACCACCCCCAGAGAUGGAGCACAUGACUCUGCACAAAGUGGUGGUGGGCAGUGUGGCACUCUUCUUUACCAUGUCCCUAAUCUUGACAGUUAUCUAUGUGUUCUGGCGCCGCUAUCCAGGUGCAACCAGAUUACUGCAGCAGCAAUCCAUGGUGGGACGGAAGCGUCGCAAAAGGAGUCCAGAACCAGAGCAGAACUUGAGCUCCCAGCUCCAAGAGUAUUACAUGAGCUACAACCCUGCUGCCACACCAGAGGCAUUGGAGGUGCUAGGCAAUGGCACUGGUUCCUGCACAUGCACAAUUUCUGGCUCCAGGGAGUGUGAGGUAUGAUUCAUCGCCUCAGCCCUAAAAAUAAAAAAGCAAAAUCAAAAUACAAAGGCUCAACAGAGAGAAUGAGUACACGUGCCCACGCCCCCUACCUGGUGCCUGGCUGGGAGACAUGCCUACCAUCCAUUAAUCCCUAAAAGGGGACUGCUUUGGAUUUGGUGCAGCAAAAUACACAGAUGCAAGGAGAGACAUUACGCAGAGAACCCAUCAACCCCAUUCAAGGAUACAUUUAAAAAAGGUCCUCUAUGCUAAGGGCCUCCACUGACUAAGACAAACAGGGGACAAUGCAGUCGUUUUGUUUUUCUUAAGAUUUUAUAAUGUCUUCUUUUACUACCUGUGCUCUUUGGUCAUAUCUGCUUUGCUGCAUUAACUCCCGCUUCACAAAAACACUGACCGGACGGUUGUGAACGAGCAUUCCUGUGGUGGACAGCAGAGGCUUGGCAGAAGACUCUGGGGCACUACUGGAGGGUUAUAACAUUGGAGCUUAUUGUAUGGACGCUAAUAGCUUAUUGUCUCCACAAGGACAAUGAGGCGUUGUGUUAAUGAGAGGCAUGAAUCUGUUCAAGAGGCUUUAAACUGAGCAAUGAAUCACGUAUGAAAAUGCACUGAAGAGGUGGCUCUGACUGCUCCGCUAACACAGCUUUGUAUCAUUUAAAGUGGGUUUACUUAUUUUAAUUUUGUAUUGAGCCUCAUGUUAUGACCUUAUAAUACUUAUUUUUUGUAAGAAAGACUAAUCAAAGGCUACGAUGGUGUAAAUGUGCCUCACUGGAGCAGAAACAUUUUGAAAGUGCACCUUUCAGCUUUGACCAAUCUGCUCCAUCGGGUGGAAAUAAAGGCAGCAGCCGUCCGAUAGUUUGACACUCGUGAAAAGUUGCCAGACAGGAAAGCAAACUAUCUCCCAAGCUGAUGACCUUUGGUAAAAGAUUUUUGUUUGAUUGUUUGCUUUUUUAAAGAAAUGAAGAAAAAAAAGACAUUCCAAGUUGUUUCUAAUUGCAAUCAAACCUCAACUGCUUAGUUUGAUUUUGUGGACAGUAAGGCAAUCAGAAGCAAAGGAGGGAAAAAAGAAAAAGCCCCUAUCAAGUGUAAAAUGUAAUUUUUCUGGAAUUAUAAUGUUGUUAAUGUUGUACUUUAUGAAUAUGUGUUUCUGCCAUUUUCAACACCGAAUACUAAAGAGCCAAUUGGAGCAUUCGGGGCUCUCCUAAGCAGGAGUUACUAUCUUAAAGAAAUCCACGACGAGUCAAAAGAAGCCUCAGUUUCCCUUCACGGGCAGCGCUGCUCUUUUACCCAAUUGUUGUUUUUUACAAGUGUGUAAUGUGAACGUCUCUGUGAACAAGAUCUCGCUACGGCCGUCAUCUUUCAGAGGAUCUUAUCUGAAAGAUAAUCUCGAGCACUGUUUACAUUUUACGACUUAUGUUCAAUACAUGUUUCACUUUCCUUGAACAAAUCCACCAAUCUCUCCCUUCAAAGACACUCCAGAUGUUGCUGUACACGGCUCCCUUGUGUUUCAUCCGUUAUGAGUUCUGAAUUAAGUUUUGAGACGCACCGAGUUGUUUGUUUCAACCUUCAAACAUAAUCUUUCUACACUUGAAAAUGAUGAUUUUCUAUUGUACAUUUCUCUUCUUCCCCCUUAAACUUGUUGAUAUUUAGUAUGCAGACGUAUUUGUUCACUUUCAAGAGUAUGUUUUAUAAUGAGAAUAAUGACAUUUUAUUGGUGAGCAAAUUGAGAUGGUCAAAUUAAAAUAUUCAUUAAUCAUU